UCCUACACAUUUCCUACAAGCUUUCGUACCCUGCACUUGGCCCAUUCAUUUCUCUCAGUGCACAUAUGUUAAUGUCCGUGUGUAUGUGGAUCAGAGUGUAGGAUUGGCUGAUUACUUGCCACAUGGGUGACGAGAUAAUUAACCCAUUGGUGCCCCAUCGGGUGACCAGCGCCGCCUUGUUGCUCAGCGAAUCCCCAGUUGCCACAAUCGUCCAGUUGCCGGCCGCAAUGAGCCACUGACACGCCCCCGGGGCUUCUCCCAGUCGGACCUAACCCCACUUAUCUUAUCGCACGUGCCCGCCUGGACAUGGAGUAGCAAAACAACUCAACUCGAGCAAACUAGAAAACUGGAAAGCCAUACAACUGGAAAACCAAAAAAAAAAACCAAGUGAACCGACUGAGGCCCCCCUAAACAUCGAAACACAGGCGCAAGCAAAAGGACUCGUCUAUUGAUAGCCCAUUGGCUGGGCUUUAAUCCAAACUGGCCCAUCAAUUUUGGUUCUCCUACCCGCCACCGGGCGCUGGCGGCGGUUCCUCAACCAGUUCAUAUUGUAAACGCAUAAGGAAUAAAGCAUAAACAAACACAUAAUACCAAAACUUUUAAAAGCAAAAAGAAAACAAAAAUUA